rnacentral:rRNA from 1 species
CCUACGUGAGGCAGCAGUGAGGAAUAUUGGUCAAUGGACGAGAGUCUGAACCAGCCAAGUAGCGUGAAGGAUGACUGCCCUAGGGUUUGUAAACUUCUUUUAUAUGGGAAUAAAACAUGUUAUUCAUACCCUCUUGUAUGUACCAUAUGAAUAAGGAUAGGCUAACUCCGUGCCAGCAGCCGCGGUAAUACGGAGGAUACGAGGGUUAUCCGGAUUUGUUGGGUUUAAGGGGAACGUAGGUGGAUUGUUAAGUCAGUUGUGAAAGCUUGCGGCUCAACCGGAGAAUUGCAGUUGAGACUGGCAGUCUUGAGUACAGUAGAGGUGGGUGGAAUUCGUGGUGUAGCGGUGAAAUGCUUAGAUAUCACGAAGAACUCCGAUGGCGAAGGCAGCUCACUGGACGGAAACUGACGCUGAUGUUCGAAAGUGUGGGUAGCAAACAGGAUUAGAUACCCCUGUAGUC